UACGUAGGGGGCAAGCGUUAUCCGGAAUUACUGGGUGUAAAGGGAGCGUAGGCGGCAUGGUAAGUAAGAUGUGAAAGCCCGAGGCUUAACCUCGGGAUUGCAUUUUAAACUAUCAAGCUAGAGUACAGGAGAGGUAAGUGGAAUUCCUAGUGUAGCGGUGAAAUGCGUAGAUAUUAGGAAGAACACCAGUGGCGAAGGCGACUUACUGGACUGAAACUGACGCUGAGGCUCGAAAGCGUGGGGAGCGAACAGGAUUAGAUACCCCCGUAGUCCCUGAG
rnacentral:rRNA from 1 species